rnacentral:rRNA from 1 species
CCUACGGGAGGCAGCAGUGGGGAAUAUUGCACAAUGGGGGGAACCCUGAUGCAGCGACGCCGCGUGAGCGAAGAAGUAUUUCGGUAUGUAAAGCUCUAUCAGCAGGGAAGAAAAUGACGGUACCUGACUAAGAAGCCCCGGCUAACUACGUGCCAGCAGCCGCGGUAAUACGUAGGGGGCAAGCGUUAUCCGGAUUUACUGGGUGUAAAGGGAGCGCAGGCGGCGCGGUAAGUCUGAUGUGAAAGCCCGGGGCUCAACCCCGGGACUGCAUUGGAAACUGUCGUGCUGGAGUGUCGGAGGGGCAA